AGAGUUUGAUCCUGGCUCAGGAUGAACGCUGGCGGCGUGCCUAACACAUGCAAGUCGAGCGAUUUUCUUCGGAAGAGAGCGGCGGACGGGUGAGUAACGCGUGGGUAACCUGCCUCAUACACAUGGAUAACAUACCGAAAGGUAUGCUAAUACAAGAUGAUAUAAGAGAUUCGCAUGGAUUUCUUAUCAAAGCUCCGGCGGUAUGAGAUGGACCCGCGUCUGAUUAGCUAGUUGGUAAGGUAACGGCUUACCAAGGCGACGAUCAGUAGCCGACCUGAGAGGGUGAUCGGCCACAUUGGAACUGAGACACGGUCCAAACUCCUACGGGAGGCAGCAGUGGGGAAUAUUGCACAAUGGGCGAAAGCCUGAUGCAGCAACGCCGCGUGAGCGAUGAAGGCCUUCGGGUCGUAAAGCUCUGUCCUCAAGGAAGAUAAUGACGGUACUUGAGGAGGAAGCCCCGGCUAACUACGUGCCAGCAGCCGCGGUAAUACGUAGGGGGCUAGCGUUAUCCGGAUUUACUGGGCGUAAAGGGUGCGUAGGUGGUUUCUUAAGUCAGGAGUGAAAGGCUACGGCUCAACCGUAGUAAGCUCUUGAAACUGGGAAACUUGAGUGCAGGAGAGGAAAGUGGAAUUCCUAGUGUAGCGGUGAAAUGCGUAGAUAUUAGGAGGAACACCAGUAGCGAAGGCGGCUUUCUGGACUGUAACUGACACUGAGGCACGAAAGCGUGGGGAGCAAACAGGAUUAGAUACCCUGGUAGUCCACGCCGUAAACGAUGAGUACUAGGUGUCGGGGGUUACCCCCCUCGGUGCCGCAGCUAACGCAUUAAGUACUCCGCCUGGGGA
rnacentral:rRNA from 1 species